rnacentral:rRNA from 1 species
CCUACGGGAGAAAGCAGGGGACCUUCGGGCCUUGCGCUAUCAGAUGAGCCUAGGUCGGAUUAGCUAGUUGGUGGGGUAAUGGCUCACCAAGGCGACGAUCCGUAACUGGUCUGAGAGGAUGAUCAGUCACACUGGAACUGAGACACGGUCCAGACUCCUACGGGAGGCAGCAGUGGGGAAUAUUGGACAAUGGGCGAAAGCCUGAUCCAGCCAUGCCGCGUGUGUGAAGAAGGUCUUCGGAUUGUAAAGCACUUUAAGUUGGGAGGAAGGGCAGUAAAUUAAUACUUUGCUGUUUUGACGUUACCGACAGAAUAAGCACCGGCUAACUCUGUGCCAGCAGCCCGCGGUAAUACAGAGGGUGCAAGCGUUAAUCGGAAUUACUGGGCGUAAAGCGCGCGUAGGUGGUUCGUUAAGUUGGAUGUGAAAUCCCCCGGGCCUCAACCUGGGAACUGCAUUCAAAACUGACGAGCUAGAGUAUGGUAGAGGGUGGUGGAAUUUUC